rnacentral:rRNA from 1 species
AUGGAAUUCUCAUCCAGAGCUACGGAACUCACGACUCUAUUAGAAAGUAGAAUGACCAACUUUUACACAAAUUUUCAAGUGGAUGAGAUCGGUCGAGUGGUCUCAGUUGGAGAUGGGAUUGCACGUGUUUAUGGAUUGAACGAGAUUCAAGCAGGAGAAAUGGUGGAAUUUGCCAGCAGUGUGAAAGGAAUCGCCUUAAAUCUUGAGAAUGAGAAUGUAGGUAUUGUUGUCUUUGGUAGUCAUACCGCUAUUAAAGAAGGAGAUCUUGCCAAGCGCACUUGAUCUAUUGUGGAUGUUCCUGCGGGAAAGGCCAUGUUAGGCCAUGUGGUCGACGCCUUGGGAGUAGCUAUUGAUGGAAAAGGGGCUCUAAGAGAUCACGAACGAAGACGUGUCGAAGUGAAAGCCCCAGGGAUUAUUGAACGUAAAUCUAUGCACGAACCCAUGCAAACAGGCUUAAAAGCAGUGGAUAGCCUGGUUCCUACAGGCCGUGGUCAACGAGAACUUAUAAUCGGGGACAGACAAACUGGAAAAACUGCAAUAGCUAUCGAUACUAUAUUAAACCAAAAGCAAAUGAACUCAAGGGGCACAAAUGAGAGUGAGACAUUGUAUUGUGUCUAUGUUGCGAUUGGACAAAAACGCUCGACUGUGGCACAAUUAGUUCAAAUUCUUUCAGAAGCGAAUGCUUUGGAAUAUUCCAUUCUUGUAGCAGCCACCACUUCGGAUCCUGCUCCUCUGCAAUUUCUAGCCCCAUAUUCAGGGUGUGCAAUGGGGGAAUAUUUCCGCGAUAAUGGAAUGCACGCAUUAAUUAUAUAUGAUGAUCUAAGUAAAAAAGCGGUGGCAUAUCGAUAAAUGUCAUUAUUGUUACACCGACCACCAGGCCGUGAGGCUUUCCCAGGGGAUGUUUUCUAUUUACAUUCCCAUCUCUUAGAGAGAGCCGCUAAAUGAUCGGACCAUAUAGGUGCAGGUAGCUCGGCUAUGUUACCUGUGAUUGAAACACAAGCUGGAGACGUAUCGGCCUAUAUCCCCACCAAUGUGAUCUCCAUUACAAAUGGACAAAUAUGUUUGGAAACAGAGAUCUUUUAUCGCAGAAUUAGACUAGUUAUUAAUGUUGGCUUAUCCGUCAGCUGCGUCGCGUCUGCCGCUCAGUUGAAAGCUAUGAAACAAGUCUGCGGUAGUUCAAAACUGGAAUUGGCACAAUAGCGCGAAGUGGCCGCCUUCGCUCAAUUUGGGUCAGACCUUGAUGCUGCGACUUAGGCAUAACUCAAUAGAGGUGCAAGGCUUACAAAAGUGCCCAAACAACCACAAUAUGAACCACUUCCAAUUGAAAAACAAAUUGUUGUGAUUUAUGCUGCUGUCAACGGCUUCUGUGAUUGAAUGCCACUAGACAGAAUUUCUCAAUAUGAAACAGCCAUUCUAAGUACUAUUAAUCCUGAAUUACAAAAGUCCUUCUUAGAAAAAGGUGGCUUAACUAACAAAAGAAAGAUGGAACCAGAUGCUUCUUUAAAAGAGAGCACUUUGCCUUACCUGUGA